rnacentral:rRNA from 1 species
AUUGAACGCUGGCGGCAUGCCUUACACAUGCAAGUCGAACGGCAGCACGGGAGCAAUCCUGGUGGCGAGUGGCGAACGGGUGAGUAAUAUAUCGGAACGUGCCCAGUCGUGGGGAUAACGUAGCGAAAGCUACGCUAAUACCGCAUACGAUCUAUGGAUGAAAGGCGGGGGAUCGCAAGACCUCGCGCGAUUGGAGCGGCCGAUAUCAGAUUAGUAGUUGGUGAGGUAAAGGCUCACCAAGCCGACGAUCUGUAGCUGGUCUGAGAGGACGACCAGCCACACUGGGACUGAGACACGGCCCAGACUCCUACGGGAGGCAGCAGUGGGGAAUUUUUGGACAAUGGGCGCAAGCCUGAUCCAGCAAUGCCGCGUGCAGGAUGAAGGCCUUCGGUU